UACGGAGGGUGCGAGCGUUGUCCGGAAUCACUGGGCGUAAAGGGCGCGUAGGCGGUUCGUUAAGUUGCUGGUGAAAUCCCGGGGCUCAACUCCGGGGCUGCCAGUAAGACUGGCGGGCUAGAGCACGGUAGAGGCAGAUGGAAUUCCCGGUGUAGCGGUGGAAUGCGUAGAUAUCGGGAAGAAUACCGGUGGCGAAAGCGACGGACUGGAUCUCAUCUGACGCUGAGGCGCGAAAGCUAGGGUAGCGAACGGG
rnacentral:rRNA from 1 species